CCAAUAGCGUAUAUUAAAGUUGUUGCAGUUAAAAAGCUCGUAGUUGAAUUUCGGGAUCAAUAUGCCGGUCAUGCCUUGGUAUGCACUCGUAUCUUUGAUUUCUCCCUUCUGACGAACUUUGAUGUCAUUAAUUUGGUGUCAUAGGGAAUCAGGACUGUUACUUUGAAAAAAUUAGAGUGUUUAAAGCAGGCUCACGCUUG
rnacentral:rRNA from 1 species